CCUACGGGAGGCAGCAGUGGGGAAUAUUGGGCAAUGGGCGCAAGCCUGACCCAGCAACGCCGCGUGAAGGAAGAAGGCUUUCGGGUUGUAAACUUCUUUUCUGAGGGACGAAGAAAGUGACGGUACCUGAGGAAUAAGCCACGGCUAACUACGUGCCAGCAGCCGCGGUAAUACGUAGGUGGCAAGCGUUAUCCGGAUUUAUUGGGUGUAAAGGGAGUGUAGGCGGGAAAGCAAGUCAGAUGUGAAAAGGCAGGGCCCAACCCCGAGCCUGCAUUUGAAACUGUUUUUCUUGAGUGCUGGAGAGGCAAUCGGAAUUCCGGGUGUAGCGGUGAAAUGCGUAGAUAUAAGGAGGAACACCAGUGGCGAAGGCGGAUUACUGGACAGUAACUGACGCUGAGGCGCGAAAGCGUGGGGAGCAAACAGGAUUAGAUACCCUUGUAGUC
rnacentral:rRNA from 1 species